GGAUGAAACAAAAUGCUGGCUAGAAGCUGAGAAAGUGGAUAAUGUGGUGCGGGAGGGACAUGGGGAGGGUUGUCAUGGCUUGAGGACCCCAGUUUACCCACACUUCACCGGUUCCCCAGUGCCCAAGGCAGGUGGAGGCUAUUCUGUGGACUUUGGGGGUCGUUGAGGUCUCAGUUAAAUAGGGAGGACCUCUUCCAGGGCCCUGUCUCAGCUCCCAUAAUCCCAACAGACCCGAGACAAGUGGCCCUGGGGCAGCUGUAGUCCAGUCUCCUCCCACAGCUCUCCAAGUCCUCCGUCCGCAGCUGGGAGUCACGGAGGGCAGGUCAGAGGCUAAAACCUGUCUCCAGUCCUUUGGUCCUUUCCUCCCUUACCCACGCCCAGGGCGGACCCGGACUUGGGUUUCUCGGCUCGCUCGGGGCAGGCGGGUCAGCUGAUCAGGUUCCACAUGUCCACCUACAAUAUUUUGAGGAAGAUGCUUCUUCUGAGUCAUUGUCUCUUCAUGGUGCUCUCGAUGUAUGACUCCAGCAAGAAGAUUGUUUCAUCUACCUGGAUCUCACUGGCAUCCAACCUGAAUGAAAAAGGUCUCCAGCUGCUGACGUUCAGGAGCUGUGAUCAUCUCUUCUAUUUCUUGCAGCUGUGCCUCCUCUGCACCUGUGGCCUGCAUAGAUGCAAUGAUGGCUUCUACCCUCUGAGACUUUUCUAGUAGACGCCUGUCAGACAAACACAACUCUGAGGCAUCUUCCUUAACUCUGAGGUUUUCUUACCCUUUCUCCCUGAGGCACAAGUUCCCCUUUCACCAUGUUCCUGAUCAAAGUGGAUAACAGCACCUUUAAAGACGUUUUCUAUAGACUUACUCUGCAAAAUUAUUUGGGGGUAUACUGGAAAAGUCUAGACUAAUGCACGAUUUAUGCCAACCUUAAACAAUGAUUCAAUUAACUAGACUGGUUAUUGGAUAAUUGUCUCCAUUUCUAUAGAAAAUUCCCUUUAGGCCUUUGAUCUUGAAAAAUGUAAAUGACAAAUGAAAAUGC